AGUGAACGCUGGCGGUAGGCCUAACACAUGCAAGUCGAACGGCAGCACAGUAAGGGCUUGCUCUUACGGGUGGCGAGUGGCGGACGGGUGAGGAAUACAUCGGAAUCUACUUUUUCGUGGGGGAUAACGUAGGGAAACUUACGCUAAUACCGCAUACGACCUACGGGUGAAAGCAGGGGAUCUUCGGACCUUGCGCUAUUGAAUGAGCCGAUGUGGGAUUAGCUAGUUGGCGGGGUAAAGGCCCACCAAGGCGACGAUCCGUAGCUGGUCUGAGAGGAUGAUCAGCCACACUGGAACGGAGACACGGUCCAGACUCCUACGGGAGGCAGCAGUGGGGAAUAUUGGACAAUGGGCGCAAGCCUGAUCCAGCCAUACCGCGUGGGUGAAGAAGGCCUUCGGGUUGUAAAGCCCUUUUGUUGGGAAAGAAAAGCAGCAGGUUAAUACCCCGCUGUUCUGACGGUACCCAAAGAAGAAGCACCGGCUAACUUCGUG
rnacentral:rRNA from 1 species